rnacentral:rRNA from 1 species
GACGAACGCUGGCGGCGUGCCUAAUACAUGCAAGUAGAACGCAGUUGCGAACGGGUGAGUAACGUGUAGGUAACUGCCUCAUAGCGGGGGAUAACUAUUUGAAACGAUAGCUAAUACCGCAUACUGUGAGAUGGACCCGCGUUGUAUUAGUUAGUUGGUGAGGUAAAGGCUCACCAAGGCGACGAUACAUAGCCGACCUGAGAGGGUGUUCGGCCCCAUUGGGCCUGUGGAUCGGCUCAGAAUCCUACGGUGGGCAGCAGUAGGGAAUCUUCGGCCAUUGAAGGAAGUAUGACCGAGCGACGCCGCGAGAGUGAUGACGGUUUUCGGAUCGUAAAGCUCUGUUGUUAGAGAAGCGGUAACUCACCAGAAAGGGACGGCUAACUACGUGCCAGCAGCCGCGGUACUUC